AGCAGCAGCCGCGGUAAUACGAGGGGGGCAAGCGUUGUUCGGAAUUAUUGGGCGUAAAGGGUGCGUAGGCGGCUUGACAAGUCUUGUGUGAAAUCUAUGGGCUCAACCCAUAGUCUGCACGGGAAACUGUCGGGCUUGAGAAUGGGAGAGGUGAGUGGAAUUUCCGGUGUAGCGGUGAAAUGCGUAGAUAUCGGAAGGAACACCUGUGGCGAAAGCGGCUCACUGGACCAUUUCUGACGCUGAUGCACGAAAGCUAGGGGAGCAAACAGGAUUAGAUACCCGCGUAGUCCCUGUCUCUUAUAA
rnacentral:rRNA from 1 species